CCUACGGGUGGCAGCAGUGGGGAAUAUUGCACAAUGGGGGAAACCCUGAUGCAGCGACGCCGCGUGAAGGAAGAAGUAUUUCGGUAUGUAAACUUCUAUCAGCAGGGAAGAAAAUGACGGUACCUGACUAAGAAGCGCCGGCUAACUACGUGCCAGCAGCCGCGGUAAUACGUAGGGGGCAAGCGUUAUCCGGAUUUACUGGGUGUAAAGUGAGCGGAGGCGGGGUUGCAAGUCAGAAGGGAAAGCCCCGGGGUCAAUUCCGGGAUUGCUUUUGAGACUGUGUUGCUAGAUUGCAGGAGAGGUAAGUGGAAUUCCUAGUGUAGCGGUGAAAUGCGUAGAUAUUAGGAGGAACACCAGUGGCGAAGGCAGCUUACUGGACUGUAAAUGACGCUGAGGCUCGAAAGCGUGGGGAGCAAACAGGAUUAGAUACCCCUGUAGUC
rnacentral:rRNA from 1 species